GUGGAUAUAGCUCAGUUGGUAGAGCACUGGAUUGUGGUUCCAGUGGUCACGGGUUCGAGCCCCGUUAUCCACCCUA
rnacentral:tRNA from 1 species